rnacentral:rRNA from 1 species
AUUGAACGCUGGCGGCAGGCUUAACACAUGCAAGUCGAGCGGGGGAAGGUAGCUUGCUACCGGACCUAGCGGCGGACGGGUGAGUAAUGCUUAGGAAUCUGCCUAUUAGUGGGGGACAACAUCUCGAAAGGGAUGCUAAUACCGCAUACGUCCUACGGGAGAAAGCAGGGGAUCUUCGGACCUUGCGCUAAUAGAUGAGCCUAAGUCGGAUUAGCUAGUUGGUGGGGUAAAGGCCUACCAAGGCGACGAUCUGUAGCGGGUCUGAGAGGAUGACCCGCCACACUGGGACUGAGACACGGCCCAGACUCCUACGGGAGGCAGCAGUGGGGAAUAUUGGACAAUGGGGGGAACCCUGAUCCAGCCGUGCCGCGUGUGUGAAGAAGGCCUUAUGGUUGUAAAGCACUUUAAGCGAGGAGGAGGCUACUUUAGUUAAUACCUAGAGAUAGUGGACGUUACUCGCAGAAUAAGCACCGGCUAACUCUGUGCCAGCCGCCGCAGUAA